rnacentral:rRNA from 1 species
UCUUGUGGCCAUACCAGCUGGCCAAAGCCUGGUCUCAUCUGAUCUCUGAGGUUAAGCAGGGCUUUGCCUGGUUAGUAUUUGGAUGGGAGACCACUGAGAAUGCUAGGUGCCAUAGUGG